AUUGAACGCUGGCGGCAGGCCUAACACAUGCAAGUCGAGCGGAGCGGCGGACGGGUGAGUGAUGCCUAGGAAUAUGCCUGGGAGUGGGGGAUAACGUACGGAGACGGGCGCUAGUACCGCAAGCUAUCAGAUGAGCCUCGGUCGGCUUAGCUAGUUGUUGGGGUAAAGGCCUACUAGGGCGACGAUCCGUAACUGGUCUGAGAGGAGGAUCAGUCACACUGGAACUGAGACACGGUCCAGACUCCUACGGGAGGCAGCAGUGGGGAAUAUUGGACAAUGGGCGAACGCUGGAUCCAGCACGGCCGCGUGUGUGAGGAAGGUCUUCGGAUGGUAAAGCACUUUAAGUUGGGAGGCGUUACUAACCGAAUAAGCAACGGCUAACUACGUGCCAGCAGCCGCGGUAAUUC
rnacentral:rRNA from 1 species